AUAAUACUCCCUCCGUCCGAAAAUACUUGUCAUCAAAAUGGAUAAAAAGAGAUGUAUCUAGAACUAAAAUACGUCUAGAUACAUCCCCUUUUAUCCAUUUUGAUGACAAGUAUUUCCGGACGGAGGGAGUAGAUG
rnacentral:pre_miRNA from 1 species